rnacentral:rRNA from 1 species
GUGCCAGCCGCCGCGCGGUAAUACGCAGGUGGCGAGCGUUGCCCGGAAUCACUGGGCGUAAAGGGUGCGUAGGCGGCAGGGCAAGUCGCGGGUUAAAGCCCGGGGCUCAACCCCGGAAAGGCCUGCGAUACUGCCUUGCUUGAGGGCCGGAGAGGCUGGCGGAAUUCCCGGUGUAGGGGUGAAAUCCGUAGAUAUCGGGAGGAACACCGGUGGGGAAGCCGGCCAGCUGGACGGUUCCUGACGCUGAGGCACGAAAGCGUGGGGAGCAAACCGGAUUAGAUACCCGGGUAGUCCACGCCGUAAACGAUGGGUGCUAGGUCUGGGGAGGAAACUCUCUGGGCCGAAGCUAACGCGUUAAGCACCCCGCCUGGGGAGUACGGCCGCAAGGCUGAAACUCAAAGGAAUUGACGGGGGCCCGCACAGGCGGUGGAGCACGUGGUUUAAUUCGAUGCAAAGCGAAGAACCUUACCUGGGCUUGACAUGCCAGGGUUGUACCCCGGUGGAAACACUGGGGGAGCGUGGGUUUUUACUCACGCGCUCUGGCACAGGUGCUGCAUGGCUGUCGUCAGCUCGUGCCGUGAGGUGUUGGGUUAAGUCCCGCAACGAGCGCAACCCCUGCCCUUAGUUGCCACCGGGUAAUGCCGGGCACUCUAAGGGGACUGCCGGGGAUAACCC